rnacentral:misc_RNA from 1 species
AAGUCGUAACAAGGUUUCCGUAGGUGAACCUGCGGAAGGAUCAUUAUCAAAACAGCGGACUUCGGUCCUUGCUGCACCCUUGUCUUUUGCGCACCGUAUUGUUUCCUCGGCGGGCUUGCCUGCCGGUUGGACAUCAUCAAACCUUUUUGUAGUUGCAAUCAGCGUCAGAAAAAUAACAAUCGUUACAACUUUCAACAACGGAUCUCUUGGUUCUG